AGUGAACGCUGGCGGUAGGCCUAACACAUGCAAGUCGAACGGCAGCACAGUAAGAGCUUGCUCUUACGGGUGGCGAGUGGCGGACGGGUGAGGAAUACAUCGGAAUCUACUUUUUCGUGGGGGAUAACGUAGGGAAACUUACGCUAAUACCGCAUACGACCUACGGGUGAAAGCAGGGGGUCUUCGGACCUUGCGCGAUUGAAUGAGCCGAUGUCGGAUUAGCUAGUUGGCGGGGUAAAGGCCCACCAAGGCGACGAUCCGUAGCUGGUCUGAGAGGAUGAUCAGCCAAACUGGAACUGAGACACGGUCCAGACUCCUACGGGAGGCAGCAGUGGGGAAUAUUGGACAAUGGGCGCAAGCCUGAUCCAGCCAUACCGCGUGGGUGAAGAAGGCCUUCGGGUUGUAAAGCCCUUUUGUUGGGAAAGAAAAGCAGCAGGUUAAUACCCCGCUGUUCUGACAGUACCCAAAGAAUAAGCACCGGCUAACUUCGUG
rnacentral:rRNA from 1 species